UGCAAGUCGAACGAAGUCUUCGGACUUAGUGGCGCACGGGUGAGUAACACGUGGGAAUAUACCUCUCAGUGGGGGAUAACGUCGGGAAACUGACGCUAAUACCGCAUACGCCCUUCGGGGGAAAGAUUUAUCGCUGAGAGAUUAGCCCGCGUCCGAUUAGCUAGUUGGUAAGGUAAUGGCUUACCAAGGCAACGAUCGGUAGCUGGUCUGAGAGGAUGAUCAGCCACACUGGGACUGAGACACGGCCCAGACUCCUACGGGAGGCAGCAGUGGGGAAUAUUGGACAAUGGGCGAAAGCCUGAUCCAGCCAUGCCGCGUGAGUGAUGAAGGCCUUAGGGUUGUAAAGCUCUUUCGACGGGGACGAUGAUGACGGUACCCGUAGAAGAAGCCCCGGCUAACUUCGUGCCAGCAGCCGCGGUAAUACGAAGGGGGCUAGCGUUGUUCGGAAUUACUGGGCGUAAAGCGCACGCAGGCGGUGAUCAUAGUCAGAAGUGAAAGCCCUGGGCUCAACCCGGGAAUUGCUUUUGAUACUGGGUCACUAGAAUCACGGAGAGGGUAGUGGAAUUCCGAGUGUAGAGGUGAAAUUCGUAGAUAUUCGGAAGAACACCAGUGGCGAAGGCGACUACCUGGCCGUCGAUUGACGCUCAUGUGCGAAAGCGUGGGGAGCAAACAGGAUUAGAUACC
rnacentral:rRNA from 1 species